AUCUCUGACAAAGAGGGUCACAUGCACCACUGUCAACUCCAGUCCUCAACUGCUCUCUCGGAGCCCAUAGCUUUUGGCAGCUGAUGCCUCCUGAUCUGAAAUCUUGUGACUUUCUCCCUGGAGGCUCAGUGGAAUUGGCUGAUGAACCAAAGGUCUGACAGGGGCAUGACUAAUCAAACUCCCACACCCAAGUUCAGCCAAGCCCCAGGCAGCCUGCGAAGCCUACUGAGUGGACACGGAGAGAAGGAGCCAUGUCUGACUCGGGGUCAGCUCCCCACCGCCCAGCCUGCAGGACAUCUGGAGCUCCUGCGUCCUCUGUGCCACUGACCACAGUGGCAAUGGCACAGGGGAGCAGAGGGACAGCUAGACACAGCUUUGGGACAGCUGCAGAGGUGAGGUGGCACCCCACAGUCGAGAGGGGCCAUUUUGCUGAUCAGUCGUUGGAGGAAUUUCGCAUCUAGGGAUGAUUACAACUGAUUUUUCCAUUUUGGCUUUUGAAGGUGGGCUCCAGUUGCUUCAUCAGCAUUUCCAAGAUAAACUGUUUUUCUGUUGUUUUGAAAAUUGGCCUAUAGGAAGAUUGUUAUGCUAGCAAAGUGGAAUCCGUGCAGAUCCUUUAGCACAACAGCAACAAAUGUGCUACUACUGGUUGUAACUUGUCACUGUACUUACCAUGACUAGAGGUUAGAAGUUAACAACUAUGUUUUUUCCCAUUAUGACUGUUUUAGAAAUUACCGCGCUUGCUGUCUGUGUUACCCUUGUAUCACCUGAUGUAUGGUGGAUUAUUGGGAAGUGUAUGACUUAUCUAAGGAGGAAUUUUAAGAUAAGAAUGAGAAUUCUUGGCCUAGUGAUGUGGAGGGACUUCCCAGCCACAGCGUCUGAAGACCUCAGCCCUGGGCUCACCCUGCACACCCUGGCCUGGAGAGCCGGAGCCCUGGCAGCAGAGAGCAGGCCCUGUGAAGGGGACAGCAGAGACUGGAGACAGCCGGUUGCCAACUUCAGGCCUCCCUCCCUGCUCGCUGCCACCCUGGGACCUGCAGCAGACUCUGCCAUGUGUCCUCUGGCCCUCCUUCAGGAAAGACAGGAUCAUCCCCUGAUGCUGGAGCGCUUCAAUGGUCAGCCUUCUCUCAAAAUUGUACUAGGUGUGAGCCACCUUGCCCAAGGUCAGGCCUGCUUCCAGUCAGCCUCCGUCCACUUGCCUGUUGGUACAGGGACGUAAAGGCCCAGUCCUCUCGCUUCAACCUGGGACCACUCUGCUGACUGGCUCAGCUCGUGGGGUUGGCUAGCCACUGUCGGUCCAUCCCCUCUGUCCUUCCCCCAUCCUGCUUCCUCCCCUGCCCUGAGUGGGUCCCCAGAACAUUUAGGCAGCUGUCCUGUAGGUCAUUGCUAACUUAGAGCCCACUUCCUAGGGACCCCAUGAUUCAAGCCCUCCAUGGAGAUCUGAGCCCAGUACUGGGAGCUGGUAGUCAGAUAAGAAUGUGCAGCUGAGACGCCCCAGAUCUGUUAAAUUACACUAGUGACUUUGGGAGCUGUGGGGAGAGGUCCCUGUUCCCCAAGCUCCUCCUUAGGAACAACAUGGAUGUAAAACUGCCUCUGCAAAGGGCUUCUUUUGGCCAGGUGGCUGCCUAAGCACUUUGAGACACUCUCAUUAAACCUAACCAGAUCCUGCUGAGAAGGGGCAUCUAGUGACAGCUGUUGGUAAAUGUAAAAGUUAGUAACUCAAGUUAGUCAAUGCAGAGUGGGACCUGGUCCCACUGAGUGUAUCCACUCAGAUACACUAUCUCUGAUUCUUUGAUGGCCCUGCAGGUGUACAUAUACUAUUCCCCACUCCUUAGUGUUCUUGCGGAUAUAUACUAUCCCGACUCCUCAGUAGUCUUGACUCUUUGCUGGUUCUGCAGGUAUAUACUAUCCUGCAGGUAUAUACUAUCCUGGUGUUGUUCAGGUAUAUACUAUCUCCCAAUCCUCAGUGUUCUUGCAGAUAUAUACUAUCCUGAUUCCUCAGUGAUCCUGCAGUUAUAUCUAUCUUGACUCCUUGAUGGUUCUGCAAGUAUAUACUAUCCUGACUCGUUGGUGUUGUUCAGGUAUAUACUAUCCUGACUCCUCAGUGGUCCUGCAGGUAUGUAACUAUCCUGACUCCUUGUUGGUUCUGCAGGUAUAGACUAUCCCCACUCCUCAGUGUUCUUACAGGUAUAUACUAUCCUGACUCCUCAAUGUUGUUGCAGGUAGGUAAGGAAGGACCAGAAACACACUAAGGUGUUGAACUCAGGAGGAAUUUUUGCCACUCAGUGCCUGCAUACCUCAUGCCCUGAAGCCAAUGAUAAUAACAUCACCUUGGUUCAUGACUGCCACUGUACAAGAACCCUCCUGUCACGCCCACCCUGGCCACACACCAUUCUUGCUUCUGCUUGGCUCAAAGCCACCUGAAGGUGAAGAUUACCCUUCCUGCCAUCCUAGGCCGAGUUAUCUGUCCUUGAGAACAUAUCCACCACAGCAGUGAAGUACCUCAAACUUCAGGACGGCUCUGGAAGAGACGCAGAGGGGGCACACACACAGCUGUGGAGCUGAGAUGGUGUCUUCUGAUGGAACCUCUUGAGUCACCAGGAAACACAUGCUUUGAAAACCCCUUGGCUCCCGGAGUACACCCGCCGCGGAGCAGGAAAACGGCUGAUGGAACAUGAACAAGGAAAGAAAACUGCCUGCUGCACACACGUGCACGCGCAAUCAGACAUGCACACACAUACACACGCACGCACACACUCAUACACACGCGCACCCUGAUCUUGGUUACUUAGCUCCUUGGGGGCUGAGAGAGAAGCUGCUUCCUGCUCACUCAUUUGGGAAGCAUGCUUGUCAUUUAAGCGACCUCCUUGCUGGAGUUCGAGGUGGUGUUUAUACACUUAAGGUGUCGCCGUGUUCACACAUGACAUUGCCACAGGGCAGUUUUCAGAACCAGGCCACUGAUGCUGCUGUGGCAUGGCUGACUGAACUGUGGGUUCUUGAACUUGGCUGUCCUCUGUUCUGUCUGGGAUUGUGACGGGUUCUAGCACUGCCUUUCUGUCUGUUCUUCUGCCUCCCCUGCCUUGCAGGCAGCUCCUCCGCCUUUCCUGGCCUCUCAGGACCUCAACACUGGUCAACGCCCUGGGAAACGUCCCUUGACUUGGGUUUGAGUCACUUCCGCGGACAGGCACAGAGCUCAUCUCACCUCUCAGGAGGAAGAGCCCUGCAGCUGGGAACCGGGAGGUGGGCUUGCUCAGCCCAUCUGAGGACCUGAAGUCUGAACAGCCAGAGGGGAGGAGGUGAGGUGCAGGGGCCAUGGGGCCAGAUCACCUGGGCUCAUGUCAGUCAUCAGAGGACCUGGGAGAGGCCAAGGAUGAGUCCCUCUGAUUUUUCUCUUAUUUAUUUUUGAGGUACUUGGAUCUGUGCAGGGCCUUGCCCAUGGUGAGCAGAUGCACCACCACUGAGCCACACCCCAGGCCUUGAUCUUCUUUUAAAAGGACGCUGCUCUGGUUAAGGACAGACCAAGGCUGAAACAGGGCACGGUCCCGAGGUGACUGUGGGUGAGACACACUCGUGGCUUGAUCUCAGGUGGUGAUAGGGAGGACAGGGAGGUGGGGGUGACUGCAUUUGGAUAGAUUUUGAAGGAGAGGGCUAGGACUUGCUGCUUAAGCAGAUGCAGGGCAGAGAGAAGGCGAGACUCCAACACAGGGUUAGAGUGCGGGGAGAAUGGGCAGCCAGUUCAACUGCUUUCAUACGAACUGGUGGACUUUAAGUUUUGUAAACAGGACAUGUGAAUACAGUCAAGGUUGAUCACAAGUGGUUAUAUUGAGAAGUUUUUAAUAUAGAGGCAUUUAGGGACAUCUGGAGUGUCCCAGGAGCUUUAUGUGUUGACCUGGCCCCUCACCAGACCAUGAAACCAUAUUCUCUGGAAGGGACUCCAGCUGAAGUAUUUUCAAAGCUCCACAGACAACUGAAACAGCAGCCAAGGUUGAGACCACAGUGCUGGGCUCCUCCUGCUGGGGCACCUCCUCCUUGUCUUCCCACCCCGACUGGCCUCUUCUUGCUCAAUUGCUGCUGUCCCCAUUUUAUAGAGGUGACUUGCCCAACAUUCCAGUAACUAGAAGUGGCUGAGUGGGAGCUUCACUAACCCCAGCAAACCAGCUGCCCACCUGCCCUCCACUAGCAGGAUGCCAUGCAGAGGGUAGUUCUUUCAAUACCAGAUCAAAACCAACAGAAGCCAAAUCCUCAGCCGUCUGUCCGAGGGAUGUCUGGUGGUGGGGCUGGAUGUACAGACAGAUGACAGAGGCGAGGAGCUGUCCCCUCUACCUAUUUUGGAAAAUGGGGGUACCUCCUGCACAGGGCAGGGGCAGUCAGGCAGCCCCCUGCUCAUCAGUGGUGGUAAUAACAAUUCAUUGACAGGAAUUUUUGGAGGAUUAGUGAAAUUUGGCAGGUGCUUGUGUCUCCAACACAGCACUCGCUUGAAUCCCCAGUCUCGCCUCUGUGAGUUUUAAGCUCCCUUGGGAGCUGCCCUCUGAGGGUCUGAUUCUGUGGAUCUGAGGUGCAGCCAGCUCAUCUGUGUAUCCAACAAACAUCCCAGGUGAUCUGGAGGACAAUGACCCAUUGAGUAACCGAGCCGCGGCCACAGGAGAGGAAACUGGACGCAGCCCUGGGCUUGGGCUCCUGAAACUCGCCUGAGGCUGCCCACUCUUCAAAUGGUGCUGGGGCCUCAGCCUCCUGGUCAGCUUCCCAUCUGCCAAUGUUCUCCACGAGCCUGGCCCUUAUUUUUGGAAGCAAACUGCAGCCUGAUCUUUCAUUUUUGGCUUCUAGAGUGUUAUUAAUGAGCAUCUGGCCAGAGUUAACAGAUGUGAUAACAACUCAGCCUUUUAAAAAAAAAAUUUAACUUUGAUUAUCUUUUCCUUCAAGAACCAGUAAUGUCACCCAGACUGUCUGGGGGAGAGGUGGGGCUCUCCCACACCUGGGCUUUACAAAAGUGCUUGAAAGGCAAUAACACCAGGCAGGGCAGUGGUAUAGGCCACAAGAAAUGACAGCGUGCCUCUGGGGUAGGUGACAUAUAGGCAGUAUUGCCAUCUACAGGUAAAGGACACACACACACAUACACUUUUUAAAAAGGACUAAAUGUCAUUUAAAACCCUUUCCACAGCUUAUGCUUUCUGCAUAAAUAAGUACAUAGUAAAAUAGGAAACUAUGGCCAGAUGAGGAGGAACUCUCAGCAUGUGCCAUCUUUUCUAGGGUCUUCUCUGUUGGGGCUAUAGUCAGUGCUGAUGCUCACCAGACCCCUGGAGAUCUGAAUGACUCCACCUAGCUUCCAGACCAGGAAGCCAGGUGGUAAAGAGGUGGCCCGACACGGCUCGUUGGUUGUGGACUGUCCAAAGCUGCCUCUCUCCAUAGCCCUGUGCUGCCUUCUGGUGCUGAAGGUCCACCUGUCCUGUGCUCCUGCCCAGUGGUGUGGCCAAGUGUUUGCUUCAAUGGCUGCUGCAGGGAUCUUCCUGAGUCCUCUCCUCUGCCAAAUGCAUCGCCCACUGAAACAUCCUUCCCUGUGACACGCUUUAUAACUCUUUCUGCUCCAAACCUCCUAUCUGGGAACGAAGAACAACACUUGUUGCCUGUCCUCUGGCCACCUCCCAGCUCAGAGAUUGUCUCCUCUCCACCUGCAACCAGGAUUUGUCUGGGAUCUUGUCUCCUGGAGCAGGGUUUCCAGCCUCGUGCAAGAGCCACCAUCACCAUGUGAGGCCCUCGAACCCUGCAGAGGUGGAGCCAGGGCCGGAGCCUGGCAGAAGCAGGAUGCAACCCCUAAGAGAGGGAUCCUGGGCAGACUGCCCUGGGCACAGAGGGCAGAGCAUGACCAGGCUAGGCCGGGGAGGGCGGGGCCUCCAGAAGCCAGGAGACUAGACCCUGACGUGUGGAUGGCUGGUGGAGACCUGAGGGUGAGGGUUAAGUGGUCCAACAGACGGCUCUUCAUGAUCCUUAGAGAGAAAGUGCAAACAUUUGAUGCUUUCUUUCCUUCUUAGAUUUAAAGGGUUUCCUAUUAGGUGUCAAGGGAUGCUGCUAGCUCCACCUUAUUAUGUUUCUGGGCAAACCUACUGGACUUCUGUUCCUUUAUUCAUCUGAUCAGCACAAUCCAAGAUAAGCUGUCAUUGGAAAUGGGAUGAAGGGCCAGGGGUGAAAUCUUGGACUGUUCAAGAGGUAGUUUCCAGGGAUAAAGCAGAUUGCAAAUGUCGAUGUGGGAAUGAAAUUUCUGCACACAAAAUCUCCCCCGACCCAGCAACAACCUGCUCUGCACAUGUGGAUGGCAGAAUUCCUGAUGUGUGACAUCCUGGCUUGGUCCCCUUCAAUUUCCUUAUGAGGGCAUCACACCUGGAUCCAGUUGGCACCUCCGAAUUAUUGAAGUGAAUGUUAUUACUUGGAUAAUCAGAAGCAAAAGUUAUUCCUUAAAAUAAAUCCUUUUUCCCAGAAAAUCCAAA